rnacentral:rRNA from 1 species
UACAGAGGGUGCAAGCGUUGUCCGGAAUCACUGGGCGUAAAGGGCGCGUAGGUGGUUUGGUAAGUGUGUGGUGAAAGCCCGGGGCUCAACCCCGGGUCUGCCGCGCAAACUGCUAAACUUGAGCAUACUAGAGGCAGGUUGAAUUCCGGGUGUAGCGGUGGAAUGCGUAGAGAUCCGGAAGAACACCGGUGGCGAAGGCGGCCUGCUGGGGUAGAGCUGACACUGAGGCGCGACAGCGUGGGGAGCAAACAGG